AAGAAAAAUAAUUCCAGGGAGUCUCAUUGGCCUAAAAUUUUGACUGACUUGAGAAUCAUGUGAAUGAUCCCAAACAGUUUCUCUCACCUUAUACUUGUCCACUGUCCUUGAACAUUUUUUUUUCAGACUUUCUAUUUGUUUCCUUGGAACAACCUUUUUUUCACUCUGUAGUUCUUAUUAAAGUAGAAUCUGGGUCAGCCUUUCGCAUAUGCCUUCCAUUUACAUAUUCCUAAAGCUUCACUUUAACAUGAGAAUGUUCUAAGCCAAGCUCUUUGCCCUAUAUUGAGAAUAUCUAUAGUGUUUAUUACUUAGCAUUUGAUGUUUUACUUUACUUUAUGAUAAUGUUUUAGGAUUUUUAAAAUAUAACAUUUUAUUAUUAUGCAAAGGAUUAAAUUAAAAAAGCACUCAAUAGUAUGAUUCUUUCCUCCUGUACCUGUAACAGAACUUACACAAUUAUAAAAAUUCUACUUUUUUGUUUGUUUGUUUCCUUCAGGCUUACAUUUUCUUUUGAAAUUAGCUAUACACAAACUAUUUUUUACUUACAAAUAAUCUCCUGCAAUGGGAGUAAGGGCUUAACUAUUGUCCUUAUUUUACAGCUGGAAAAUGGAAGUUGUAUUUCUUAUACAAAGUCACAGCAUUAUAGAAAAAAUGAAAUUGAAACUCUGGACUCUUGAUCUGCUUUCCAUUUCAUUUAUAAGUCAGCUUGCUUUUUUCCUUAAAGAAAAAAGAAGGAACUGAUUUCAUCUUCAGAGAGUUAUACAAACUCUCAUUUCUCUUUGAAGAAAAAUCAUUUAAUCUGUCAGAUACAAGAUCUUCAAUUUUUUUUUUGUAAUAGCAUCUGCUAUACCUAGCUCCUCAAGGAGUAAAAUUGACUUUCUUAGUACUAAUUCUUGUUUAAUCAAUCAAAUUUUCACCAGCCCGUGACUAAAUUUUCUGCUUACUUUUAGUCUUCAGUAUCAUUUGAAAAACUCUAAAUUUACCAAGUUUGUGCCCACAGAUUGUCUCUCAUGUAUGGUUUCAGAUCUUCCCGUCUCUCUUUGUACUGGUAAGCUAAGAUUCUCUUCUCCAGUCUUGUAGUUGUCUAUUCUGGGUCUGGCUUGAACUUUCUUUUGAUCCUUCAGCCUGACUUCCUAACAGAUUGUAUAUUUGACUAGCAUUAUGAGUUACAGCUAAAGGGACCCUUCCUCUCUUCACAGUGAACUUUAUAAGAGUUACCAUGACAUUUGUUCUGCAAUUUUUACUAAUAACUGUGUAUCUUUCAACUCAGAUUUAGCUUGUCAGUUUGAACUGUGGUAGAACACAAAGAUUGGUAUACUUGAAAAAAUGCGAUAUGACUAGUUAGUUAAUUUUUGGCUUCAGGACUUUUGUACUUGUGAAAUUAGGACUCACUCAGCCCACAAAAUUACCUCCUGUCCCCAGUUCCUAAGAGUAAUCUUGGAUCAAUAUAAGAUAGACCUAUAAAGAAUUGUCAUGGAUCAAAUCCCAUUUUUAUUUGGUACCAAUUGUUCCUGAAUUUUGUUAACUGGACUCUGUAUUCAUUUUCUAUGUAUGAAUCUUUUAUUUGUUGACUUAAUAAAAGGUCCUAACCUCUUCAUUUGAAAGUGUAUAGUUUUGGGGUCUAAACUUCAAGCAUCUCAUAAUUAUCUCAAUCUAAUUAUCUGACCAGAUUUCAGAUUUUCAUGGCAAAUUGAACCCCAUAUCUUUGUUAUGUAUUAUUACCUGCAUUUAAUCAAUAAUAGUGAUUAAUAAUGGAUAACAUUGAUUACUAUCUAUGUAUCAAGGUCAAGUCAAUGAAUUUUCAAAGUACUAAAUUAAUAUACAUCAAUUCAGACCCGAGGUAAGUAUUUUCAUUUUCCUUAACUCUAUUGCAUUGUAUUGGCAAGUUUCUGUCUUUUAGACUAGACUACCUUAGCUCCUAUAUCUGAGUCCAUAUUUUCUGUCAAUCUUUCAAUCAACAUUCAGUCUUUUACUGUUUUGUCUAGUUUCCUGUCUUUGCCUUGCUGAACAAAAUAUCUUUGAUUCUGUCAUACCCAAUGAUUCAUUACUAAGGUCAAAUGAUGAUCACCUUUGUGUGAUUCAUUUUAGAAUGACUUAAGUAGUUAAGGUUUUUGAAUCUGUAGUUAGGAAAACAGAUUUGAAUCCUAGCUAUAAGGCUGUGUACCUCUCUAGUCCUGUGCCCAUAUUUUCAUCCUAAAAUGGGACUAAGAGUAACCAUUUCAUAGGACAAAUAUCAGAAACAAAAGAAUUAACAUAUAAAUUAGUGAAUACAAUCAUAAAACAAGUCUUAAGAUGAUAUAUAAUCUUAAUAGCUAUUGCUUCUUUAUUGGUGAAUGUUAAAAUUUAUUGAAUUGUAUUUUUUCUUCAAUAUUCUUUGCCUCACAAGUAACGAUAACUGUGGAAAGGAGAUAUUUGAAAAAAAGCACAUAGUUUUUGUUUGAGAAUUUUAUCUAACAAAUGAAAGGUAUCUUGACCAAUUUUUAAAUACCUGAAAUAAUGCAUGUAGAAAAAAGUUCAUUUGUAUGGCAGAAUUCUUAAGAUGUUUCUGUGAUUUGAAGAAAAGAACACGAGGGUAAUUAAAAUAGAGUUUAGAAUCAAUUAGUGGAUUGCUCAGCUUGCUUCAGGGUCACUGCCAGAGGAAACUAACUUUUAAAUUAAAAUUGAAUGUGGUAAUAAUUAACACUGGUAACUAAAAAUGAAAACAUAUUUAAUAAAGUAAUCAAGUAGAUACCCUAAAGGCCAUACCUUUAUGUUAUGUACAUUAGUGUAUUUGACUAACUCAGUUCCAUUAGAAUAUCCAAUAAAUCUUUUCUUCUUGGUACUUUCCGUAUUUCUUAAUUUCUUAUAAUUCUCAAUCAGUCCAAUAGUUUCUAGAUACAAAACUUAUUCAAAAACUCUUGAGAGGUACUCACAUGAAUGAGAAACUUUAGCUCAAGGAGUCUACUAUGUAGAGAUAGAAAUGUAAAAAUGUAACAAUUUAAAUAAUACAAAAAUAUAGAAAUGUAGAAAAAGACAAUUUGUUUUAAAGCAAUGUGGUUGUCUUCAUCACAAUGUGGGGUAAAAGCAAUAUGUUCCAGAGAAGUUCUAAGGAGGGCACAGGCAUUUGGGUCAGAGUAGCCUGGAAAAAUCCUGGAAACAAACAAACAAACAAACAAACAAACAGGAUUGGAAUUUGUUUCAAAACAUAAAUAGGAUUUUGAGCUCUUUCAAAUGUUUUCCAUUUCUUCUAAAAAUGACUACUCUUGCUUCCCUAUUUAUGUACUAAGAUGCCUCCAGCGUUUCCAGGAAGCAGAAUGUCAGAGGAUAAAGGAGGUCUAGCCACAGAUCUUGUAAUCCAGACUUUCUUGAUACACCUGCUAAACAGCUGUCAAUAAUUCUGGCAUGUCAAUCUCCACAUUGCUCUUCUCCACCCUCUCAGGAGUUUUCCUCAAGAUAGCUAUCUAUGAAAUACAGCCAUUUCUAGGAUUCACUCAACAGGACAGAAAUCAUGCCUGGUACUGGAAACCUGGCUAACUUCCCCUGGCUAGUGAGAUCAUGGUCUAUAGAAAAGAAUCUACUACCUCCAUUUACUAGAGCAGCAUAAUUAAUUACUGCAUUCUAACUCUUAUCAUCAUACUCACAGCUUUAAAGAUCUUCCUCAAAACAUCAUACCAUCUAUGACAACAACUGCGCAGUACUCUGCAGCUGUAUAACAUACCAUUUGCAAAUAUCAACCUAACUAUUUAAUAAUCAUUGCAUGGUCUCAUUCAACUUAUCUAAUAUAUUAAGAGUUGCUUUGUCCAUUGAAAAUAACUUUACUUAGAUUGUAGAUUUUAAUAAUUACAAAGAUUAAAGAGUUAAUAUAUGUAAAAUAUAGCAUCAUUGACCAGUUAAUAAAAAAAAAAAGUAAGUAAAUUGUUGGAAAUUUGCAAAGCUGCUUUCUUCAUGUGUUGUCAUUAAAACAUAAUAUUACUAAAAUUUACAAUUCUCAUUAACUUGUGUAAUUCUAUAUGUGAAGAAUAAAGAAAACAUGUUUUAGUGAGAAAACUUUUAGAAAGUGUAAAAGAUUUUUAUUUAAAAGGGAAUAUUUUGUCCAAAUUCAGAAAUUUUUAAAGGUUUAUUUCAAAAUGUAAAUUUAAACAUGUAAAGACUAAAUAGCAAAUAGAAAGCAAAGAUAUAAGAAAACUACAGAAAUGAAAUGUGUUUUUCAUAAGAUAGGCUAAUUGAGAAAAGUGUCUUUUGGAUGAAAGGAGAUUUUAUAAAUAAAUAAGAUAGUUUUUCUUGAGGAAAAUGACUCAACUAUUUUAAAUGGAAAAAAAUCAAGACAGAACCCAAAGUAAGACUAUAAAUUUGUACAAUGUCUGAAUGAAUUACAGGUUAUUGAAGGAAAAAAUCUUAGAAAAGGUUAUAUGAAUCAAUUAAUUAUAAUUUAAUAGGUUAUUUAAAGCAUUUUGUCAGGUUGACAUUUAAUGUACUUAUUUAACAAAGGAAAACUCAAAUGUUUACAGUAGUAAAAGUCAUCUUAAGUUUUUAGAUGAUCUUAAUAAUUUUCACAAAUUCCAGACUUCUGUUUUUUCUAAGUAGAUGUUUGUGUUUGUUUUCUGAAAACUUGGUUAAGCUUUUGAUUAGAUAAGGACCAAAUCUUAUUCUUUUUAAAUAAAGAACUGAUCCUUCAUAGAGUUAA